AGUAAGCAAGUCUAUGCAAACCUCUUCCCAAAGUCCAAGGAAACUGAGAGACCAAAGAAAGAGGCUGACAAAUCCAAUUUUUCAGAAAGUAACAUCUAAUGGAAACUUAUGAACAGAAACCAUGUCUGUGUUUCGGGCAGCUGUGAGACAAGAUGAUGGAUCCCAGUGCCAUUAUCCCCCAGACCCAGGUUUUAUAAACCACAGGGAAGGAAUGUGUAGGAUAACCGAAGUUGACACCUGAAGGAAAAGCAAAAAUGGUAUUGCUGUUUUGCAGUGAUCAUAUUCCAGUGCUGAAAAAAGAGGGACCUUGCAUAUUUAUUUAGUUUUAUGUCAAGGGAGAGAAAGAGACACAAGGAGAAAGAGAGAUUAAAAACUGAUACUUCUAUUUCCAGGAUCACUAUAUAACUGUCCAAUCACUCAGACUCUCCAAUCUGAGUGAGUAGGGCCAAGAAAAUGAGGCUCUCUCUCUCUCCUCAUCUCAGUUAAAGGAUAUGUUAUCUCACCAGGAGGG